rnacentral:rRNA from 1 species
CCUACGGGUGGCAGCAGUGGGGAAUAUUGGGCAAUGGGCGCAAGCCUGACCCAGCAACGCCGCGUGAAGGAAGAAGGCUUUCGGGUUGUAAACUUCUUUUCUCAGGGACGAAGAAAGUGACGGUACCUGAGGAAUAAGCCACGGCUAACUACGUGCCAGCAGCCGCGGUAAUACGGAGGAUCCGAGCGUUAUCCGGAUUUACUGGGUGUAAAGGGCGUGUAGCCGGGCUGACAAGUCAGAUGUGAAAUCCCGUGGCUCAACCACGGAACUGCAUUUGAAACUGUCGGUCUUGAGUAUCGGAGAGGCAGGCGGAAUUCCUAGUGUAGCGGUGAAAUGCGUAGAUAUUAGGAGGAACACCAGUGGCGAAGGCGGCCUGCUGGACGACAACUGACGGUGGGGCGCGAAAGCGUGGGGAGCAAACAGGAUUAGAUACCCCAGUAGUC